UGAACGCUGGCGGAGGCCUAACACAUGCAAGUCGAAGCGGCAUGAACGAGGAGCAUUCGUCUGCCUCUGCAUUGUCAUCGGGCGRGUACGGGUGCAGUAUUGCGCGUAAUGCAAUCUGCCUSUGAUCAUUUGUGUGCGGACAGCGGUAUCACUAUAAGGCGCUUAAUACCGCAACACGUCCGAACGAGCGUAAGCAAGAGUGGGGGAUCGUCACGCACCACCUUUCAAUUGCCUAGGUCGGUUUGCUUUUCGNGGAGGGGCUCACCCGGCACGUCCAUAUCUGUCUGAGAUAGAUCANUCACACUGCAACUGNGACACGGUCAAGCNCAUACUAGCAGGUAGGNANUAUUANUCUGGGGCCUAAUCCAGAUACCGUGUGUGANGAUGGUCNUNGGCCUUUAAUNCACUUUACUUUNGAGAAGCAUUCGUUUACCUUGCCGUUUUUGNCGUUGCCGAUAAAUAAGCACGGCUAAACUCUUCAGUAGCAGCGGGUA
rnacentral:rRNA from 1 species